ACCUACCUACCCUAAAAGCACCAGAUCACAUCUGAUCUUGGAAGCCAAGCAGGGUUAGCUCUGGUUAUUACUUGGAUGGGAGACUACCAAUGAAUACCAGAUACUGUAGCUA
rnacentral:rRNA from 1 species